rnacentral:rRNA from 1 species
GUCCUAGCUGUAAACGAUGAGUGCUGGGUGUAGGGGGUAUUAACCCCCCCUGUGCCGAAGCUAACGCAUUAAGCACUCCGCCUGGGGAGUACGGUCGCAAGGCUGAAACUCAAAAGGAAUUGACGGGGCCCGCACAAGCGGUGGAGCAUGUGGUUCAAUUCGACGCAACGCGAAGAACCUUACCGGGGUUUGAACCGUACGGGACAGCUGCAGAGAUGUAGUUUUCCUUCGGGACCCGUAUAGAGGUGCUGCAUGGCUGUCGU